rnacentral:rRNA from 1 species
GUCGUAACAAGGUUUCCGUAGGUGAACCUGCGGAAGGAUCAUUACAAAAAUUCAUUCCAACUCAACCAAGCCUCUUUAUAUGGCAGACCCGAAAGGUGUUAGCCAUUAUAAAACUAAAAAUCAAAACAACCUAACUAAGACCUAAACAAAAACCAAAUUCUCAACGGUGGAUGUCUAGGUUCCCACAACGAUGAAGAACGCAGCGAAGUGCGAUAAGCAGUGCGAAUUGCAGAACCGUGAGUCAUCAGAUUUUUGAACGCAACUUGCGCCAAUGUAGCUUGCUGCAUGGCACGUCUGGUCCAGUGUCUUAUUCUCUCAUCACCUAAAUCAUAAUGCUUUAGAUACCCUUCUAAAGCCAAGUAUGAAAGCACUCUGCAAAUGCGCGUGACCCUUGUGGUCGCACUCAAUGCGGUCGUCACGUUCUUAUGAAUGUGAACUCAUUGAGAGCAUUCGUAGUAUUUCUUUGAAAUAAAGUGCUUAGAUAAGUCAACUUAGAACUCGUAUCUGGGCUCAGGUGGGACUACCCGCUGAACUUAAGCAUAUCACUAAGCGGAGGAAAAGAAACCAACAGGGAUGGCCUCAGUAAUGGCGAAUGAAGCGGCCAGAGCCCAAGAUGGAAAUCACCGGUCAGUGGCCGGCGAAUUGUAGUCUUGAGAGGGGAACUCAAAGAGAGGAGGCGUAGAAUCCGUUGGAAAGCGGAGCCAGAGAAGGUGAAAGCCCUGUACGUGACGCCACCGAUCAACGAGAGAACCAUCGAAGAGUCGGGUUGUUUGAUAUUGCAGCCCUAAGCGGGAGAUAAACUUCUUCUAAGGCUAAGUAUAUGUGGGAAACCGAUAGCGAACAAGUACUGUGAAGGAAAGAUGAAAAGCAAUUUGGAAAGAAUGUCAAAAGACCUGAAACCGUUGAGGAGGAAGCGGUAGAGAAGUAUGGUAUCUGUAGGGCUAAGGUGGAGGUUCGCCAAAGCUGUGCCCGAAAGAGUACACAAGAUGGAGCGAUUCGCCGGCAAAAGCUGUGCUAGGUUUACCUGGUGUAUGCUGGUCGGAGUUUGGCUUGAGGGGCUAUGUGCGAUCUUGUGAAAAAAGUCUUUACCGGCUCGUCUUGAAACACGAACCAAGGAGUCUAACGUACACGCGAGUAUGAAGGUGGAGAAACCGUCAUGCAAAAUGAAAGUAAUAGAUGCCAAAUUAGCAGCAUCGACCGACUGAGCUCUCGGGUGAGGUUUGAGUAAGAGCGUGUCCUUUAGGACCCGAAAGAUGGUGAACUAUGCGUGA